UACGUAGGUGGCAAGCGUUGUCCGGAAUUAUUGGGCGUAAAGCGCUCGCAGGCGGUCCUUUAAGUCUGAUGUGAAAGCCCACGGCUCAACCGUGGAGGGUCAUUGGAAACUGGGGGACUUGAGUACAGAAGAGAAGAGUGGAAUUCCACGUGUAGCGGUGAAAUGCGUAGAGAUGUGGAGGAACACCAGUGGCGAAGGCGACUCUUUGGUCUGUAACUGACGCUGAGGCGCGAAAGCGUGGGGAGCAAACAGG
rnacentral:rRNA from 1 species